rnacentral:rRNA from 1 species
UACGAGUGCCUCAAGCGUUAUCCGGAAUUAUUGGGCGUAAAGGAUGUGUAGGUGGUCGUGUUAGUCUCUUGUUAAAUUCUUCGGCUUAACCGGGGACCUGCAAGGGAAACGGCACGACUAGAGGAUGCGAGGGGUCUGCGGAACUCAUAGUGUAGCGGUGAAAUGCGUUGAUAUUAUGGGGAACACCAAAAGCGAAGGCAGCAGACUGGAGCACUCCUGACACUGAAACAUGAAAGCGUGGGUAGCGAAUGGGA